rnacentral:misc_RNA from 1 species
GUCAUGAGCAUCUGCGCCUUCACUCGCUGGCGCCGCCACGACUCCCCGUCGGCGUUGAAGAUGCCGCCGCCCAGGACGUCGAAGAUGGCGGCGUACUCUUCGCCUUUAGGGUAGUUGGCGAAGUUGGACGUGAAGAUGUGGCGCACGUUGGAGGGGUCGCAGGUGAUGAAGUACCGCACGCCGGUGCGACCUGCGCGGGCUUCGAAGUUGUAGCCCGCGCCGGCGAGGACACCGGUGGCCCAGUCGUGGAAGUGAUGGAUGUUGGCGACCAAGCCGGGGAGAUGGCCGACUAUUGGCCAUUCGGUCGGCUCCAAAGGGCUCGUUUUCUUAGAUUGCAAGUGGCGGUAGUACAGGGUGAGGAAGCAGAGAACAAGGGCCAGCCCUACGAACAGAAAAAACGGCUCCAUGUCGAUGUCUGGAUGGGAAUGGGAUGGAACCACGAACGGUGCAACAUGGCUAUUUGUAAGCGACCGACUGAGCGAGUACUAGACUACGUAGGCCAUAAAUUUUUAAGCGAGGCUGAGGCUGGUGAGAUGUCUGCUGUCAGUGCAUAGUAAUAAGCGA